rnacentral:rRNA from 1 species
UACGUAGGGUGCAAGCGUUGUCCGGAAUUAUUGGGCGUAAAGAGCUCGUAGGCGGUUUGUCGCGUCUGCUGUGAAAAUCCAGGGCUUAACCUGGACCUGCAGUGGGUACGGGCAGACUGGAGUGCGGUAGGGAGAUCGGAAUUCCUGGUGUAGCGGUGAAAUGCGUAGAUAUCGGGAGGAACACCAGUGGCGAAGGCGGCUAUCUGGGCUGCAACUGACGCUGAGGCGCGAAGGCUAGGGAGCAAACAGG